rnacentral:rRNA from 1 species
ACGCUCGACACCUACGGGAGGAAGCAGUGGGGGAUAUUGCACAAUGGGGGAAACCCUGAUGCAGCGACGCCGCGUGAAGGAAGAAGGCCUUGGUUGUAAACUUCUGUCGUACGGGACGAUAAUGACGGUACCGUACAAGAAAGCCACGGCUAACUACGUGCCAGCACGCCGCGGUAAUCUGAGCGGGCUGGCAAGGC